rnacentral:rRNA from 1 species
UGGCGGCAGGCUUAACACAUGCAAGUCGAGCGCUGUAGCAAUACAGAGCGGCGCACGGGUGAGUAACACGUGGGAACAUGCCUUUCGGUUCGGAAUAACUCAGGGAAACUUGUGCUAAUACCGGAUACGCCCUUACGGGGAAAGAUUUAUUGCCGAAAGAGUGGCCCGCGUUGGAUUAGCUAGUUGGCGGGGUAAAAGCCCACCAAGGCGACGAUCCAUAGCUGGUCUGAGAGGACGACCAGCCACACUGGGACUGAGACACGGCCCAGACUCCUACGGGAGGCAGCAGUGGGGAAUCUUGGACAAUGGGGGAAACCCUGAUCCAGCCAUGCCGCGUGAGUGAUGAAGGCCCUAGGGUUGUAAAACUCUUUCGGCGGGGACGAUAAUGACGGUACCCGCAGAAGAAGCUCCGGCU